GGAAGAUAACCUUGAUGUGGAUGAUAUGGAUGUUGUUUUGAAAAGAGAGAGCUGACUGAAGAAAAGAAAAGGAUAAAUGGCAUAAAACUGGCCAACAUCAGAGGACGUCCUACAUCAAGUUACUUUCAUAGGUGAUUUGUACUGCCUGAAAAGAGUAAAAAUCUCAUUAAAAGAGAGAAGGAGCGAGAUGCCUGGAUUCAUGCCUCAGCACAGUCCCAGCAGUCCCAACCAGACUCAGACUUCCAGCACCAAACUUGGUUUCCAGACCCUGG
rnacentral:lncRNA from 1 species